rnacentral:lncRNA from 1 species
AUUAAAUCGUUUUUCGAACGGUCUUCUCUUUUUGAAUUCUCCGAUUCAAAUCCGUUAACGUUCCGAUCAAAAUUCAAAAUUCUCUCGACAUCUCUUCUUUCUCCGGUGAAGAAGAUCGAUCAUAGUGGUGGAUCCAACGGACGAGAUCGCAAUUGGGGAAUCUGUUUGUCACCGAAACAGAAGUAUAAUUUCUUUUCUCAAUUUUUAGGUUUCUUUACUUCAAACAAAAGUAGCGAAAUA